rnacentral:rRNA from 1 species
AUUGAACGCUGACAGAAUGCUUAACACAUCAGCAAUUGAUUGGUGGCGGACGGGUGAGUAACGCGUAAAGAACUUGCCUCACAGCUAGGGACAACAUUUAGAAAUGAAUGCUAAUACCUGAUACUGUGAGAGAGCUUUGCGUCCCAUUAGCUAGUUGGAGAGGUAACAGCUCACCAAGGCGAUGAUGGGUAGCCGGCCUGGGAGGGUGAACGGCCACAAGGGGACUGGGACACGGCCCUUAGUCCUACGGGAGGAAGGAGUGGGGAAUAUUGGACAAUGGGCCGAAGUGUGAACAAGCAAUUCUGUGUGCACGAUGAAGUUUUCGGAAUGUAAAGUGCUUUGAGUUGGGAAGCGGUACCAACAGAAGAAGUGACGGCUAAAUACGUGCCAGCAGCCGCGGUAAUAC